AGUGAACGCUGGCGGUAGGCCUAACACAUGCAAGUCGAACGGCAGCACAGUAAGAGCUUGCUCUUACGGGUGGCGAGUGGCGGACGGGUGAGGAAUACAUCGGAAUCUACUUUUUCGUGGGGGAUAACGUAGGGAAACUUACGCUAAUACCGCAUACGACCUACGGGUGAAGCAGGGGAUCUUCGGACCUUGCGCGAUUGAAUGAGCCGAUGUCGGAUUAGCUAGUUGGCGGGGUAAAGGCCCACCAAGGCGACGAUCCGUAGCUGGUCUGAGAGGAUGAUCAGCCACACUGGAACUGAGACACGGUCCAGACUCCUACGGGAGGCAGCAGUGGGGAAUAUUGGACAAUGGGCGCAAGCCUGAUCCGGCCAUACCGCGUGGGUGAAGAAGGCCUUCGGGUUGUAAAGCCCUUUUGUUGGGAAAGAAAAGCAGCAGGUUAAUACCCCGCUGUUCUGACGGUACCCAAAGAAUAAGCACCGGCUAACUUCGUG
rnacentral:rRNA from 1 species